rnacentral:rRNA from 1 species
AGCCUGAUGCAGCGACGCCGCGUGAGGGANGAAGGCCUUCGGGUUGUAAACCUCUUUCAGCAGGGAAGAAGCGCAAGUGACGGUACCUGCAGAAGAAGCGCCGGCUAACUACGUGCCAGCAGCCGCGGUAAUACGUAGGGCGCAAGCGUUGUCCGGAAUUAUUGGGCGUAAAGAGCUCGUAGGCGGUUUGUCGCGUCUGGUGUGAAAACUCAAGGCUCAACCUUGAGCUUGCAUCGGGUACGGGCAGACUAGAGUGCGGUAGGGGUGACUGGAAUUCCUGGUGUAGCGGUGGAAUGCGCAGAUAUCAGGAGGAACACCGAUGGCGAAGGCAGGUCACUGGGCCGCAACUGACGCUGAGGAGCGAAAGCAUGGGGAGCGAACAGGAUUAGAUACCCUGGUAGUCCAUGCCGUAAACGUUGGGCACUAGGUGUGGGGCUCAUUCCACGAGUUCCGUGCCGCAGCAAACGCAUUAAGUGCCCCGCCUGGGGAGUACGGCCGCAAGGCUAAAACUCAAAGGAAUUGACGGGGGCCCGCACAAGCGGCGGAGCAUGCGGAUUAAUUCGAUGCAACGCGAAGAACCUUACCAAGGCUUGACAUACACCGGAAACUUCCAGAGAUGGUUGCCCCGCAAGGUCGGUGUACAGGUGGUGCAUGGUUGUCGUCAGCUCGUGUCGUGAGAUGUUGGGUUAAGUCCCGCAACGAGCGCAACCCUCGUCUUAUGUUGCCAGCACGUCAUGGUGGGGACUCAUAAGAGACUGCCGGGGUCAACUCGGAGGAAGGUGGGGAUGACGUCAAAUCAUCAUGCCCCUUAUGUCUUGGGCUUCACGCAUGCUACAAUGGCCGGUACAAAGGGCUGCGAUACCGCGAGGUGGANCGAAUCCCAAAAAGCCGGUCUCAGUUCGGAUUGGGUCUGCAACUCGACCCCAUGAAGUCGGAGUCGCUAGUAAUCG